AAAUUUCUCGAAGGGUUUACGUCACGUCUUUGUUCGAAGGUGUUGUUGUGUUCAAGCUUCGGCAAGUAGGAAGAUGGAGUUAAAGUGAAUGCACGGGCUGGGUGUCUUUUUCAUAUUCGGCAGGUGUCAAUAUUGGCCAAGGAAAGGAGUUAGGAGUUAAGCCUCGGGUUGGGAGGUCUUGGGGUCUUGGAGCUGAGCCAAUUUUGAUAGCUGAAGUAGGUGCUCUUGUGAGUUUUGGUGAGAGGCUUGGGUUCUUUGGGCUUGGCCUGUUGUUGAGAGUUGGGCCACAAAUUUGGAGCUGGGCUCGUUGGCUUGGAGCUGGGAUCCUUGGUGAGAACAAUUUAUGGUAGGCAUCAUCUAGUGCCGCUGGGUGAGGUUGCUGGGCUUUGGGUGUUUGGCAAGGUCUUUCUUUAUAGACAAUAGUGAAAUGUACAAGGGUUUGAGAGGGAAACUGAAAGGGUGCUAGGGUUUUGCUAGCUUUAUAAAUAGGAACUUGGAGUGACGUAUGCAUCACACUGAGAGAUUUUUGAGCAAGAUUUCCAGAAAGUGAAAAGGAGAAAAAGAUUUCCGGUGAGAUUUUGGUGGUGGUGCUAGGGUCAAGAAGAUUUCCGGCGAAUUUCCGUGGUGAUGCAAACAAGGUUCGGUGAAGUGGGGACCGAUCUCCAAGGAGCGAGAAGACGAGGUUGAGAGAGUGAGGUCACUGUUGUCGGAGACCCAGAGUGAGCGCAGAAACUUAGUCACCCAGAAGAACCUGUACGAGUCCGGACUCUUGC